rnacentral:rRNA from 1 species
UUAAUCCACAACCACAAGCGCCAGGGAAUUACGAGCCAAGCUUAAAACCCAAAGGAUUUGACGGUGUCCCACCCCCCUAGAGGAGCCUGUUCUAUAAUCGAUGAUCCCCGCUACACCCGACCAUUUCUUGCUUAUAUCAGUCUGUAUACCUCCGUCGAAAGCUUACCAUGUGAACGCCCCCCACAGUAGGUUCAAUGACCCCCGUCAAUACGUCAGGUCAAGGUGCAGCUUAAGAAAUGGGAAGCGAUGGGCUACAAUUUCUAACCUAGAACAAACGAAAGGCUAUGUGAAAUCAUAGUCACGAAGGCGGAUUUAGUAGUAAAAAGAAAAUAGAGUGUUCUUUUUAACCUGGCUCUGGGACGCGUACACACCGCCCGUCACCCUCUUCGAUAGUGCUAACCCACAGUCCAUAACCUAUUUAUACGUCUGAGAAGAGGCAAGUCGUAACAUGGUAAGUGUACUGGAAAGUGCACUUGGUAUAUUACAAAAUAUAGCUUAACAAAAGCCCCCCGCUUACACCGAGGAGUUAUCUGUUUGACCCAGAUUAUUUUGAGCCUUAAAUCUAGCCCACAUGAUCCGCAUGAUACUCCCCAACAUCUGUAAAAAAUAAAACAUUUUAACAUUUUAGUAUAGGCGAUAGAAAAAUUAUUAAGCGCUUUAGACAGAGUACCGCAAGGGAAAUAUGAAAUAGUAAUGAAACAAUUUUUAUAGCCACAAACAGCAGAGACACCCCCUCG